rnacentral:rRNA from 1 species
UGGGGAAUCUUCCGCAAUGGACGAAAGUCUGACGGAGCAACGCCGCGUGAGUGAAGAAGGUUUUCGGAUCGUAAAACUCUGUCUUUUGGGGCGAACGUGAGUAUGGUGAAUAAUCAUAGUCAGUGACGGUACCAAAGGAGGAAGCCACGGCUAACUACGUGCCAGCAGCCGCGGUAAUACGUAGGUGGCAAGCGUUGUCCGGAAUUAUUGGGCGUAAAGAGCGCGUAGGCGGGAUAGUCAGUCUGUUGUAAAGUGCGGGGCUCAACCCCGUGAUCGCAAUGGAAACAGCUAUUCUUGAGUGCAGGAGAGGAAAGUGGAAUUCCCAGUGUAGCGGUGAAAUGCGUAGAUAUUGGGAGGAACACCAGUGGCGAAGGCGACUUUCUGGACUGUGUCUGACGCUGAGGCGCGAAAGCCAGGGGA